rnacentral:rRNA from 1 species
GUAGGUGGCAAGCGUUGUCCGGAAUUAUAGGGCGUAAAGCGCGCGCAGGCGGUCCUUUAAGUCUGAUGUGAAAGCCCACGGCUCAACCGUGGAGGGUCAUUGGAAACUGGGGGACUUGAGUACAGAAGAGGAAAGCGGAAUUCCAAGUGUAGCGGUGAAAUGCGUAGAGAUUUGGAGGAACACCAGUGGCGAAGGCGGCUUUCUGGUCUGUAACUGACGCUGAGGCGCGAAAGCGUGGGGAGCAAACAGGGAUUAGAUACCCUGGUAGUCCACGCCGUAAACGAUGAGUGCUAAGUGUUAGGGGGUUUCCCGCCCCUUAGUGCUGCAGCUAACGCAUUAAGCACUCCGCCUGGGGAUACGGCCGCAAGGCUG